rnacentral:rRNA from 1 species
UACGAAGGGGGCUAGCGUUGCUCGGAAUCACUGGGCGUAAAGCGCACGUAGGCGGAUUGCUAAGUCAGGGGUGAAAUCCUGGAGCUCAACUCCAGAACUGCCUUUGAUACUGGCGAUCUCGAGUCCGGGAGAGGUGAGUGGAACUGCGAGUGUAGAGGUGAAAUUCGUAGAUAUUCGCAAGAACACCGGUGGCGAAGGCGGCUCACUGGCCCGGUACUGACGCUGAGGUGCGAAAGCGUGGGGAGCAAACAGG